rnacentral:rRNA from 1 species
UGGCCCUUAUGGGUAGGGCUUCACACGUCAUACAAUGGUACAUACAGAGGGCCGCCAACCCGCGAGGGGGCGCUUACCACGGUAGGAUUCGUGACUGGGGUG